GACGAACGCUGGCGGCGUGCUUAACACAUGCAAGUCGAACGGAAAGGCCCUGCUUUUGUGGGGUUCUCGAGUGGCGAACGGGUGAGUAACACGUGAGUAACCUGCCCUUGACUUUGGGAUAACUUCAGGAAACUGGGGCUAAUACCGGAUAGGAGCUCCUGCUGCAUGGUGGGGGUUGGAAAGUUUCGGCGGUUGGGGAUGGACUCGCGGCUUAUCAGCUUGUUGGUGGGGUAGUGGCUUACCAAGGCUUUGACGGGUAGCCGGCCUGAGAGGGUGACCGGCCACAUUGGGACUGAGAUACGGCGCAGACUCCUACGGGAGGCAGCAGUGGGGAAUAUUGCACAAUGGGCGGAAGCCGGAUGCAGCAGCGCCGCGUGCGGGAUGACGGCCUUCGGGUUGUAAACCGCUUUCGCCUGUGACGAAGCGUGAGUGACGGUAAUGGGUAAAGAAGCACCGGCUAACUACGUG
rnacentral:rRNA from 1 species